UAGCUCAGUCAGUUGAGUGUGGUGCUGAUAACACCAAGGUCGCGGGUUCGAUCCCUGC
rnacentral:tRNA from 1 species